AUUGAACGCUGGCGGCAUGCCUUACACAUGCAAGCCGAACGGUAACAGGUCUUCGGAUGCUGACGAGUGGCGAACGGGUGAGUAAUACAUCGGAACGUGCCUAGUAGUGGGGGAUAACUACUCGAAAGAGUGGCUAAUACCGCAUGAGAUCUACGGAUGAAAGCAGGGGAUCGCAAGACCUUGUGCUACUAGAGCGGCCGAUGGCAGAUUAGGUAGUUGGUGUGAUAAAAGCUUACCAAGCCGACGAUCUGUAGCUGGUCUGAGAGGACGAUCAGCCACACUGGGACUGAGAAACGGCCCAGACUCCUACGGGAGGCAGCAGUGGGGAAUUUUGGACAAUGGGCGCAAGCCUGAUCCAGCAAUGCCGCGUGCAGGAUGAAGGCCUUCGGGUUGUAAACUGCUUUUGUACGGAACGAAAAGCCCCGGGUUAAUACCCUGGGGUCAUGACGGUACCGUAAGAAUAAGCACCGGCUAACUACGUGCCAGCCGCCGCCGUAA
rnacentral:rRNA from 1 species